rnacentral:rRNA from 1 species
UACAGAGGUCCCAAGCGUUGUUCGGAUUCAUUGGGCGUAAAGGGCGCGUAGGCGGCUGGGCAAGUCAAAGGUGAAAUCCCUCGGCUCAACUGGGGAACUGCCUUUGAAACUGCCUGGCUUGAGGCCGGGAGGGGGUAGCGGAAUUCCCAGUGUAGCGGUGAAAUGCGUAGAUAUUGGGAGGAACACCAGUGGCGAAGGCGGCUACCUGGACCGGUUCUGACGCUGAUGCGCGAAAGCGUGGGUAGCAAACAGG